UGCUAGUGGAGGUGGUUCUAGUACUGGUUCUAGUGCUAGUGGAGGUGGUUCUAGUGAACCUAGUGCUAGUGGAGGUGGUUCUAGUGAACCUAGUGCUAGUGGAGGUGGUUCUAGUGAACCUGGUGCUAGUGGAGGUGGUUCUAGUGAACCUAGUGCUAGUGGAGGUGGUUCUAGUGAACCUGGUGCUAGUGGAGGUGGUUCUAGUGAACCUGGUGCUAGUGGAGGUGGUUCUAGUGAACCUGGUGCUAGUGGAGGUGGUUCUAGUGAACCUGGUGCUAGUGGAGGUGGUUCUAGUGAACCUGGUGCUAGUGGAGGUGGUUCUAGUACUGGUUCUAGUGCUAGUGGAGGUGGUUCUAGUGAACCUAGUGCUAGUGG